UAAAAUAUUUAGUUUUAUAAGUGCCACACAAUUGAAAAAGACAUUAAUUGCUCAUUCUAACCCAACGGCCACAGUGGUUAUAGUCCUUUAUAGGAGGGAAAGAACCCCAACAACCCUAGAAUACAUAGUGUUCCAUUCAAGAGACGCUCAUCUAAUGUCUAACGUCUAACGUCUAACGUCUAACAUCGUUCACCACUGGGAGCUGUGGAUAUAGUGCCGAGAGUGACCACCAGACCUAGAAAUUCACAGUCCAAGAAUAGCAAGGUUGCUAGUGAUCAAUGGAUAGAAAAAUAUGCAUCAAAUCAAAUAUUGAUUACGGAGCCCAGAGAUGCUACAACAACAAAUAUAGUCCAAGAACCCCGGACGAAAAGAAAAUACAAUCACAUCUUGAAAGUUGGAAAUAAUAGAAAUUGAAAGCAUGAUCCCAAAUCUUUAUUUCAAAGCACCCAUCAGUGAGAGAAAGAAAGUAAAUUGGAAUAUGAAGACCUCUUUGAUCUUCCUUUGGAGGUAAAAUUAUAGGAAUCAAAAGAUUCAGAAGUGUCAAGCUGAAACUUGUCAAGAAAGGCUUCAGGAGAAAUAAAUGUUUCUUCUGUUUCA
rnacentral:lncRNA from 1 species